CCUACGGGAGGCAGCAGUGGGGAAUAUUGGACAAUGGGCGCAAGCCUGAUCCAGCCAUGCCGCGUGAGUGAUGAAGGCCUUAGGGUUGUAAAGCUCUUUUACCAGGGAUGAUAAUGACAGUACCUGGAGAAUAAGCUCCGGCUAACUCCGUGCCAGCAGCCGCGGUA
rnacentral:rRNA from 1 species